GCUUUAUCUACGUGCCCCUUGUGACAAUUUGGACAUCAGAUAACGACUUGCGGGAGGCGGAGACGGACGGGUUUGUGACGCGGGACGACCGCGCACACCUGUUCCCGUGCCGCUCCCCCAGGUACGGCCGGGGCCGACAGGUCGUCACGGCGCGCUACAGAACGUAGAAUCCUCUACAAUUCAACAUCCCUGCAGUGAACGUUCAGUGUCUACAUUACUGACUUUUGUUUUCUGUAAUUUUGAGCUUGUGCCGUGUGAAGCGAUUGGUUCUUGGAAGGUUGAGGGCCCGGGCCCGGGCAUCCGCGCCGCUUCAGUCACAGAGGUGCGCAAACAGGUGGUCCGAGGGGACCGCACAGAGGAACGUCCCACGCGGUGAUCCAGCCUCGGAGACUGUUCAUCGUUUGGGUGUACAUCUGUAUUUACCAGGUUUGUCAGGGGGGCAGCAAAUGCAGGGACACACACCACCCACCAUGCUCACCUAACAUCCUGUGGGGAAUGAAACACAUUUGUCUCCAGCUAUCAACGUGAAGAGAGAAAAAAGUCAUGAUGCUGGGCCGUGCUUGACUGGGCUGUGGCGAUGGUUAUAUAAAAUGAAGAGUUGCGUUUGAUAUUCAUGUCGUAGGAUUUUCGAGCAGAAUGUGAUAGAACUAACCACCGACAACAUGCUCAUUAAUGAUCUAGCUCAGCAUUUUCUGUAAUAAAACACUACGGUUAAAGUUUGUGCCACACAUGACAUGUACCCAAGAAUGCCCUCAGCUUGUGAUCGUACGGCAAUCAUACUACAAAUGUGACCAGGUCCUAAUUAUAACCUUCCGCAUGUUCUUCCGUAUGCUGUUGUAUAUUGUUUUAUACUUUACAUUGAUGUCGUAUUGCCUACUCUACUGGGCAUCUGCCUACUACAAGUAUGUGCAGUUACUAUGGACUCAACAGUUACAGACACUCAUAAACGGCUUGAAAAAGUCUGUCUAUUGCCAGUAUUACCAGCACGCUGUGUACUAGUAGGUUAUAGGUUAUUGGUCUGAAAACAAUGUAUUGUCUGUGAGAUCAGAAUCCGUUGUUGUGUACAGUAAUGUGUGCAGUAGCAUGCCGAGCCAAGGUUGUAGGCAGAUAUUGAUGAGCAGGAAGAUAGAAUCUGAGAUACAAAAUCGCCACCUUCCUUAUUCCAUGCCUCUCAUACUUAAGGUGCUCUAACACCGACAUUGGAAUGCUGUGGUACGUGGCAGCCAGCACGAGCUCAAUGUCACAAAAUCUCAUUAUUUCCAGUAUAUUUAUCUGGGGGAUUAACGGAUAAACACCGUCUUCACUUGAACAGCGCCCUUCACCUUAUACAGAUUGUUUUAAUCUAUUUGAGUGUAUAUAACGUUACUAUUCGCCCUUCGUGAACACAAAAUCAAAGUCAGGUCUAUACAAAACGUUCAGUAUGUAUUGUUGUGCAUGGCUAGUAUAUUUCUUGGGGCGAUUGGUAUGUUAUAGAUCUGGGUAGGCAAUUUCAAGUCAAGUGUUUUCUAUUGGAAAGUUGUCCACACAAGUUUACUCAAGGUUUUAGUCUUAAUCCGCCACCUGCAGCCGCCAUCCGCCAGAUGUUUUGAUAGGCCGGGGGACGUCUGCAGGUCAGGGUUUGGUACAUUAUUGCUAUGUUCAAGAGCUUGGUGGCCAUGGGUGUUUCUUGGAUGAGUACACCUGUCAGACAGCCGUAUGGUUAAUUUGAGUAUCUUAACACAUGAUUGUAUUCUUGGAAUGAGUGCAUCAGCAUCAUGUAUCGUCUGGGGGAAGGGCGUUGCGCUGAACUGCGUUGUGUUGUGUUGUGUUGUCUAAUUUUUUGCGCAAACUCUAAAACGACCAUCUAGUGAUAGUGAUAGUAAAAGACUAACCUUGAAAUAAAAUGCAGAAGGAGUUGCUCGAGGACAGCCGAGAAAAUGGAACAUAAUGGUACUACAAAAAAUUGUGAACAUAGGUACUAUGCAUAGUUAAUCAAUGACGUUGCCGCUUUAGUUCUUGCUUAUUAUUAAGUCGAGUCUAUCCGGUCUCAAGUCGAGAUGACUGCCAAUAUGUGUAUGACUUGUAUUUGUUAGGAUAGGUACCGUAUGACUAGAGCUAAGAUACUAUAGUUUGAGUCCUUAUCAAACUCCGUCCAAAUUGUAUAGGUUACGUAUACAAAUAAGUAACAAUCAUUACAUAUGAAUUACUUGACAUUAUGCCAUACAUGUAUUUAUUUACUCUGGGUGCUUACCUUUGCUAUAUGUAGUGUUUAGACGCUGCGACUUCUAUAUACUGUACAGACCCGGUGGCAGACAUGUAGUACGUAGAUGCGGCAUCUAGCGAUCAUACUUAUUAUCGCAUGUUAACAAGAUAAAGAUGGCAAUAAAAUUGACUUUUCAAUGCAUUCAUGUUUGCAGGUGACAUGCGCCAUUGAUCAGUAAA